AUGCAGGCCUAUUGUGGGUCAUGUGGAUUGACCGCGAAUGCCCACUCUGAUCGAAGGGGUGAGAAGGGCAUUUGGAGUGCUCCAAACCCGUUUUGCAGUUGUUCGAGGACCUGCAAGAAUAUGAGAUGCAGAGACGUUGUGGGAAGUGCAACAUGUGUGAUCAUGCACACCAUGAUUGUAGAGGAUGAGGGUGACGGAGUUCGUCAUGGUCUGGAAUCUGAGCGCAUGGGUGAUCCUAUCCAACUUACAGAUCAGAAUUCGGCGACGUUCACUGAAGGAUGGGGAUGCAAACACAUCAUUCUUCCACCGGCAGAGCACCUACUGCCGACAGAAGAAUAG
rnacentral:rRNA from 1 species